UACGUAGGGUGCAAGCGUUAAUCGGAAUUACUGGGCGUAAAGCGUGCGCAGGCGGUUUUGUAAGUCUGUCGUGAAAUCCCCGGGCUCAACCUGGGAAUGGCGAUGGAUACUGGACAGCUAGAGUGUGUCAGAGGAUGGUGGAAUUCCCGGUGUAGCGGUGAAAUGCGUAGAGAUCGGGAGGAACAUCAGUGGCGAAGGCGGCCAUCUGGGACAACACUGACGCUGAAGCACGAAAGCGUGGGGAGCAAACAGG
rnacentral:rRNA from 1 species